rnacentral:lncRNA from 1 species
UGGAAAGCAACUUACCAAAAUGAAAUUGACUGGGGCUCUAUGGAAGUUCUUUGUUUUCAUUUCUGUGGGUUCAAAUAUAAUUUAAACAAUUUACAACUAGACUACUGAAGUGCAGUUUUUUUCAGAGCAUGUGUAUAAUUUGUUAUGAAUUUACUUUUGUUCUCUGGAUAUAUUUAUAUAUGUGUUUUCUGAUAUGUUGCUGAAGUCAUGUUGUCACUUCAGGAACUGGGUAUCUUUUAA